GACGAACGCUGGCGGCGUGCUUAACACAUGCAAGUCGAACGGAAAGGCUCCAGCUUGCUGGAGUACUCGAGUGGCGAACGGGUGAGUAACACGUGGGUAAUCUGCCCUGCACUCUGGGAUAAGCCUGGGAAACUGGGUCUAAUACUGGAUAUGACCUUUCUCCUUAUGGGGUUUGGUGGAAAGUUUUUCGGUGUAGGAUGAGCCCGCGGCCUAUCAGCUUGUUGGGGGGGUGAUGGCCUACCAAGGCGACGACGGGUAGCCGGCCUGAGAGGGUGAUCGGCCACAUUGGGACUGAGAUACGGCCCAGACUCCUACGGGAGGCAGCAGUGGGGAAUAUUGCACAAUGGGCGGAAGCCUGAUGCAGCGACGCCGCGUGAGGGAUGACGGCCUUCGGGUUGUAAACCUCUUUCAGCAGGGACGAAGCGUAAGUGACGGUACCUGCAGAAGAAGCACCGGCUAACUAUGUG
rnacentral:rRNA from 1 species